AAGAUAUGCUGGUAUUAUUGGCACAACGGACAAGCAUUAAAGUCCAACUUGGUGAACUACAAAAUACAUCAAACUCAGUUAUAAAAAUUUGAGUAACAAAGGUAUGCUAAUUAUUGUAUUGCCUGAAAGAGUGCCAUUAAAAGCAGUAAAGAAUUCAAGUACUCUGGAAGAAAAAAGACAAGAAAAUACUUUAGUAAAUGGUUAAUUAUUUGGCACAAAUUGGAGUUAAAAA